rnacentral:tRNA from 1 species
GCCGGUGCCGUAGCGCCGCCUUACUUCGUUAGGGACGAUGGGGUCGCCGGUUCGAGUCCGGCCCGUGGGCU